rnacentral:rRNA from 1 species
GAUGAACGCUGGGGGCGUGCCUAACACAUGCAAGUCGAGCGGAGAAUUGUUGCUUGCCACAAUUCUUAGCGGCGGACGGGUGAGUAACACGUGGGUAACCUGCCCUAAACAAAGGGAUAACAAUGAGAAAUCAUUGCUAAUACCGUAUAAGCUUACACUAUCGCAUGAUAGAGUAAGAAAAGAUUUAUCGGUUUAGGAGGGGCCCGCGUCUGAUUAGCUAGUUGGAGAGGUAACGGCUCACUAAGGCGACGAUCAGUAGCCGACCUGAGAGGGUGAUCGGCCACAUUGGGACUGAGACACGGCCCAAACUCCUACGGGAGGCAGCAGUGGGGAAUAUUGCACAAUGGAGGAAACUCUGAUGCAGCAACGCCGCGUGAAGGAAGAAGGUUUUCGGAUCGUAAACUUCUAUCUACAGGGAAGAAAAAAAUGACGGUACCUGAGUAAGAAGCCCCGGCUAACUACGUG